rnacentral:tRNA from 2 species
GACUGGAUAGCCUAGUGGUCAAAGGCAGUGCUUCUAGCAAUGAUGAGGUCCUAGGUUUGAAUCCUGGUCUAGUCA